UGGAAAAUGGCCCACUUCCCACUGGUGAAAAGUCAUGAAAUUUGGCAGGACGACCGGGCCUGGUGAAAAAUUCGAUAUUCUGAAGUCGCCCAAAAAAUCAAAUGCAAAAUGGCUCCAUAGCGCCCCCUAAGGUGAAAAAUUAACAUGAUUGAGUGUCACGCCUGUACGCUUUGUCAAAAUGACACAAAAUUUGACACACACGUGUAUCUCAAUAAGAUCUACAAAAAAGUCAGUGCAGGCGUAUCUGUCAAAUGUACGGUUAAAGGUUUAUUUCGCAUUUUUUGCCGAUCCGCACACAUUGGAAUUUCGCUAACUCCUCCAAAGGUUUUCGUUCCACCGGCACCACAUUUGCUCAGGCCAAUCUACACCCCAUGGCCAAUAAAAGUUGUACAAAUCAUGACGCUGCACCCCACGGUUUACGUUCUAGGGGGCGCCAAAGAUAACCCAAAAAUCCACAGUCUUAAAAGUCUUAUAACUUUUUAUUUUUGUCCUCACUGGCCUCCAAGUUCUCUAGGAUGAUGCAAUGUCCAGCCAUCAACACAUUUGUGAAGGAAUUUUUACUCGCCAAAAGAGCGCCCCCCCAUGGCAGGAGAAAAAUGUCCAUUUUUUCUUGUCUCCUAAGGCGAAAAUACACAUCGUUGACUGUCACGCCUUUACGCUUUGUCAAAAUGACACAAAAUUUGACACACACAUGUAUCUCAAUAAGAUCUACAAAAAAGUCAGUGCGGGCGUAUCUGUCAAAUGUACGGUUAAAGGGUUAUUUCGCAUUUUUUGCCGAUCCGCACACAUUGGAAUUUCGCUAACUCCUCCGAAGGCUUUCGUUCCAACGGCACCACAUUUGCUCAGGCCAAUCUACACCCCAUGGCCAUUAAAAGUUGUACAAAUCAUGACGCUGCACCCCACGGUUUACGUUCUAGGGGGCGCCAAAGAUAACCCAAAAAUCCACAGUCUUAAAAGUCUUAUAACUUUUUAUUUUUGUCCUCACUGGCCUCCAAGUUCUCUAGGAUGAUGCAAUGUCCAGCCAUCAACACAUUUGUGAAGGAAUUUUUACUCCCCAAAAGAGCGCCCCCCCAUGGCAGGAGAAAAAAGUCCAUUUUUUCUUGUCUCCUAAGGCGAAAAUACACAUUGUUGACUGUCACGCCUUUACGCUUUGUCAAAAUGACACAAAAUUUGACACACACAUGUAUCUCAAUAAGAUCUACGAAAAAGUCAACGCGAGCGUAUCUGUUCAAUGUACGGUUAAAGGGCUAUUUCGCAUUUUUUGCCGAUUCGCACACAUUGGAAUGUGGCUAACUCCUCCUAAAGCUUUUGUCCCAUCGGCUCCAAAUUUGCUCAGGUCAAUCUACACCCCAUGGCCAUUCAAAGUUGUACAAAUCAUGACGCUGCACCCCACAGUAUACGUUCUAGGGGGUGCCAAAGAGGACCCAAAUAUCCACAUUUUUAAAAGUCUUAUAACUUUUUAUUUUUGUCCUCACUGGCCUCCAAGUUUUCUAGGAUGAUGCAAUGUCCAGCCAUCAACACAUUUGUGAAGGAAUUUUUCUCCCCAAAAGAGCGCCCCCCAUGGCAGGAGAAAAAGUCAAGUUUUUCCUGCCCAUCGCUCAAUGGCUCAAAAGCAUCGCUCUCUCGGCAAAACCGAAAGGAGGAGCAACUUGCCAUUUGGAUAUAUACUAGCUGUGUUUGUGCCCUCACUCAUGGUCCAGACUUUUUUCAAAAAGGACAUGGAGUUUGUCUGCAGCGAGCGUUUUGGUAGAAACUGCACCUCCCAUUCAUUAUAAUGGUAAAUGACCACAGACAAGUGCGCACACCAUCUUUGGACCUUGAGUGUGACGCGAUCAAGAGGGGUAGGCGGUCGCGCUGGGGGCGGCGCGACACGGCUCGGGCCCGCCAGUGCCCCAACGGGGCCCUAGUCUUCUUAUUAUUUUUCUGCCCCUUUGAACUGGAAAAUGGCCCACUUCCCACUGGUGAAAACUCAUGAAAUUUGGCAGGACGACUGGGCCUGGUGAAAAAUUCGAUAUUCUGAAGUCACCCAAACAAUCAAAUGCAAAAUGGCUCCAUAGCGCCCCCUAAGGUGAAAAAUUCACAUGAUUGAGUGUCACGCCUGUACGCUUUGUCAAAAUGACACAAAAUUUGACACACACGUGUAUCUCAAUAAGAUCUACAAAAAAGUCAGUGCGGGCGUAUCUGUCAAAUGUACGUUUAAAGGGCUAUUUCGCAUUUUUUGCCGAUCCGCACACAUUGGAAUUUCGCUAACUCCUCCGAAGGCUUUCGUUCCACCGGCAC
rnacentral:lncRNA from 1 species